rnacentral:rRNA from 1 species
AGAGUUUGAUCCUGGCUCAGGACGAACGCUGGCGGCACGCUUAACACAUGCAAGUCGAACGAAGUUAUUUGAGCUUGCUUAGAUAACUUAGUGGCGGACGGGUGAGUAACACGUGAGCAAUCUGCCUUUCAGAGGGGGAUACCGAUUGGAAACGAUCGUUAAUACCGCAUAACAUAGUAAAUUCGCAUGUUUUUACUAUCAAAGAUUUAUCGCUGAAAGAUGAGCUCGCGUCUGAUUAGGUAGUUGGUGAGGUAACGGCCCACCAAGCCGACGAUCAGUAGCCGGACUGAGAGGUUGAACGGCCACAUUGGGACUGAGACACGGCCCAGACUCCUACGGGAGGCAGCAGUGGGGAAUAUUGCACAAUGGAGGAAACUCUGAUGCAGCGAUGCCGCGUGAGGGAAGAAGGUUUUCGGAUUGUAAACCUCUGUGUACAGGGACGAUAAUGACGGUACCUGUUCAGAAAGCUCCGGCUAACUACGUGCCAGCAGCCGCGGUAAUACGUAGGGAGCGAGCGUUGUCCGGAAUUACUGGGUGUAAAGGGAGUGUAGGCGGGACGGCAAGUCAGAUGUGAAAUUUAGGGGCUCAACCCCUGACCUGCAUUUGAAACUGCUGUUCUUGAGUGAAGUAGAGGUAAGCGGAAUUCCUAGUGUAGCGGUGAAAUGCGUAGAUAUUAGGAGGAACACCAGUGGCGAAGGCGGCUUACUGGACGAUAACUGACGCUGAGGCUCGAAAGCGUGGGGAGCAAACAGGAUUAGAUACCCUGGUAGUCCACGCCGUAAACGAUGAUUACUAGGUGUGGGGGGACUGACCCCUUCCGUGCCGCAGUUAACACAAUAAGUAAUCCACCUGGGGAGUACGGUCGCAAGACUGAAACUCAAAGGAAUUGACGGGGGCCCGCACAAGCAGUGGAGUAUGUGGAUUAAUUCGAAGCAACGCGAAGAACCUUACCAGGUCUUGACAUCGAUCGAAUCCGAAAGAGAUUUUGGAGUGCCCUUCGGGGAACGUGAAGACAGGUGGUGCAUGGUUGUCGUCAGCUCGUGUCGUGAGAUGUUGGGUUAAGUC